AUUGAACGCUGGCGGCAGGCCUAACACAUGCAAGUCGAGCGGAUGACGGGAGCUUGCUCCUUGAUUCAGCGGCGGACGGGUGAGUAAUGCCUAGGAAUCUGCCUGGUAGUGGGGGACAACGUUUCGAAAGGAACGCUAAUACCGCAUACGUCCUACGGGAGACAGCAGGGGACCUUCGGGCCUUGCGCUAUCAGAUGAGCCUAGGUCGGAUUAGCUAGUAGGUGAGGUAAUGGCUCACCUAGGCGACGAUCCGUGACUGGUCUGAGAGGAUGAUCAGUCACACUGGAACUGAGACACGGUCCAGACUCCUACGGGAGGCAGCAGUGGGGAAUAUUGGACAAUGGGCGAAAGCCUGAUCCAGCCAUGCCGCGUGUGUGAAGAAGGUCUUCGGAUUGUAAAGCACUUUAAGUUGGGAGGAAGGGCAGUAAGCUAAUACCUUGCUGUUUUGACGUUACCGACAGAAUAAGCACCGGCUAACUCUGUGCCAGCCGCCGCGGUAACAC
rnacentral:rRNA from 1 species